rnacentral:rRNA from 1 species
CCUACGGGGAGCAGCAGUGGGGGAUAUUGCACAAUGGGGGGAACCCUGAUGCAGCGACGCCGCGUGGGUGAAGAAGCGCCUCGGCGCGUAAAGCCCUGUCAGCAGGGAAGAAAAUGACGGUACCUGAAGAAGAAGCCCCGGCUAACUUCGUGCCAGCAGCCGCGGGAAUACGUAGGGGGCAAGCGUUAUCCGGAUUUACUGGGUAUAAAGGGGGCGCAGACGGCGAUGCAAGCCAGGAGUGAAAGCCCGGGGCCCAACCCCGGGACUGCUCUUGGAACUGCGUGGCUGGAGUGCAGGAGGGGCAGGCGGAAUUCCUGGUGUAGCGGUGAAAUGCGUAGAUAUCAGGAGGAACACCGGUGGCGAAGGCGGCCUGCUGGACUGCAACUGACGUUGAGGCCCGAAAGCGUGGGGAGCAAACAGGAUUAGAUACCCUGGUAGUC